CCUUACCCACCUUUGACAUGGCAGGAACUUACCGAGAGAUGGUUUGGUGCUCGAAAGAGAACCUGCACACAGGUGCUGCAUGGCUGUCGUCAGCUCGUGUCGUGAGAUGUUGGGUUAAGUCCCGCAACGAGCGCAACCCUUGCCAUUAGUUGCUACGAAAGGGCACUCUAAUGGGACUGCCGGUGACAAACCGGAGGAAGGUGGGGAUGACGUCAAGUCCUCAUGGCCCUUAUAGGUGGGGCUACACACGUCAUACAAUGGCUGGUACAAAGGGUCGCCAACCCGCGAGGGGGAGCCAAUCCCAUAAAGCCAGUCGUAGUCCGGAUCGCAGUCUGCAACUCGACUGCGUGAAGUCGGAAUCGCUAGUAAUCGUGGAUCAGAAUGUCACGGUGAAUACGUUCCCGGGUCUUGUACACACCGCCCGUCACACCAUGGGAGCGGGUCUCGCCAGAAGUAGGUAGCCUAACCGCAAGGAGGGCGCUUACCACGGCGGGGUUCGUGACUGGGGUGAAGUCGUAACAAGGUAAGCGUAGUGCU
rnacentral:rRNA from 1 species